GAGCCACAUCAGUCCCUUCCCUUAGCCCCACAGGUCAGGCCCACAUGGGUCACAGGUCCAUGUGGCACCACCAGGCUGCCUCACGGGGGCUUCUGUUCAGCUCAUCGGCUUCCUUACUGAGACAGGGACAGGGGUUUGCACAGCAAUGCAGAAGGACCCAGCACAAAGCCACGAAGUGCCACUGCUCCUGGGCUCCCUGAUGCGAAGAACUGGGAGGAAGGACACCCUCCAGAACAGCCCUCGAACUGGGAGGUCCUGCUCCCCCUCCAGCAGGCAGACAUGGCAAGCCCUGGGGCCAGAACUGGCAACUUUGACACAAAAGGAACAGAAACACCUCUGACAGGAGGCAAAGUGCAGGGCUGUCCGGCCUUUGUCGUCCGCAGCACAGGGGUCCGUUCCGUCCUCCAAGAGUUGCUGCACUGACAGAACCAAGGAGAAGAAAGCAGAUUCUACAAUAAUCAAGACUGUUUCAGGCCACUGAAAGUCAGCAUUUGUGUCAGCUUCCAGACAGUGAAUUAUAGACACCUUUGAGAUUCAUCUUGUACAUGUCCUACUUCAAAGUGUGGUACAGAACUGAAAGGAACACCUAAAAAGAUGGAAGUGGCAUUAACAUGGAAUGUUUGAUACUUCAGAAUAAAGACAGGAAGACUGACAGUGCCCCAGUGAGAACCAUUAAUAACUUUAGCUAACCAAAAUAACUUUAGCUACUCUUCCUCUGAACCAAGUAGGAAUGACAUAACCUUUCCACUCAGUGCCACCACAGGAAACAGCAAAGAUAUUUACUUGUUGAUGAAAAAUAAAUUAAUCAUAGCACACUUCCUCAAGUUGCAGAGUAAACAAAACAAAAGGAUUGUAAACACAGGAACCUGUCUAUCAAAUCCAAGGUGGAUUGAAACCAAGACUUUCAUAAAACUGCAUUCUUUCCUCUUCCUGUUGGAAACAAUGUAACUUUUUAAUAAUUUUAGUUAGUGGCUUUAAUUAACUUUGAAAUUAAUUUCUUUAACUAAUCAUAAUCUAUAUAUAUAUAAUUAAUUAUAAAUAGUAUGUGAUUUUUAUAUUAUUCUUAGCCAGUAUUUAGCAAAGCUGUCAUAACAUACUUUUGUAAGAACACACAGCUUGGAAAAACUACUGAAACUUUAACUUUUGAUAAACUAACUCUGAUAUACUUCAAUGAACAAGAC